CCUACGGGAGGCUGCAGUGAGGAAUAUUGGUCAAUGGACGAGAGUCUGAACCAGCCAAGUAGCGUGAAGGAUGACUGCCCUAUGGGUUGUAAACUUCUUUUAUAUGGGAAUAAAAUGUUACACGUGUGGGAUUUUGUAUGUACCAUAUGAAUAAGGAUCGGCUAACUCCGUGCCAGCAGCCGCGGUAAUACGGAGGAUCCGAGCGUUGUCCGGAUUUAUUGGGUUUAAAGGGAGCGUAGGUGGUUUGUUAAGUCAGUUGUGAAAGUUUGCGGCUCAACCGUAAAAUUGCAGUUGAAACUGGCAGUCUUGAGUACAGUAGAGGUGGGCGGAAUUCGUGGUGUAGCGGUGAAAUGCUUAGAUAUCACGAAGAACUCCGAUUGCGAAGGCAGUUCACUGGACUGCAACUGACACUGAGGCUCGAAAGUGUGGGUAUCAAACAGGAUUAGAUACCCGAGUAGUC
rnacentral:rRNA from 1 species